rnacentral:rRNA from 1 species
AGUAGUUUGAUCAGUGGCUCGAGGACGACGCUGGCGGCGUGCUUAACACAUGCAAGUCGAACGGUGACGGAGAGCUUGCUCUCCUGAUCAGUGGCGAACGGGUGAGUAACACGUGGGCAACCUGCCCCAGACUUCGGGAUAACGCUUCGAAAGAGGUGCUAAUACCGAAUACGAACCUCCCUGGCAUCUGGGAGGUUGGAAAGUUUUUCGGUCUGGGAUGGGCCCGCGGCCUAUCAGCUUGUUGGUGAGGUAACGGCUCACCCAAGGCGACGACGGGUAGCCGGCCUGAGAGGGCGACCGGCCACACUGGGACUGAGACACGGCCCAGACUCCUACGGGAGGCAGCAGUGGGGAAUAUUGCGCAAUGGCGAAAGCCUGACGCAGCAACGCCGCGUGAGGGAUGACGGCCUUCGGGUUGUAAACCUCUUUCAGCAGGGAAGAAGCGAAAGUGACGGUACCUGCAGAAGAAGCACCGGCUAACUACGUG